rnacentral:rRNA from 1 species
CAACAGGGAUUGCCCCAGUAACGGCGAGUGAAGCGGCAACAGCUCAAAUUUGAAAUCUGGCUCUCGGGCCCGAGUUGUAAUUUGUAGAGGAUGCUUUUGGUGAGGUGCCUUCCGAGUUCCCUGGAACGGGACGCCAUAGAGGGUGAGAGCCCCGUCUGGUUGGACACCGACCCUCUGUAAAGCUCCUUCGACGAGUCGAGUAGUUUGGGAAUGCUGCUCUAAAUGGGAGGUAUAUGUCUUCUAAAGCUAAAUACCGGCCAGAGACCGAUAGCGCACAAGUAGAGUGAUCGAAAGAUGAAAAGAACUUUGAAAAGAGAGUUAAAAAGUACGUGAAAUUGUUGAAAGGGAAGCGCUUGUGACCAGACUUGGGCUUGGUUGAUCAUCCGGGGUUCUCCCCGGUGCACUCUUCCGGCCCAGGCCAGCAUCAGUUCGCCCUGGGGGACAAAGGCUUCGGGAAUGUGGCUCUCUCCGGGGAGUGUUAU